CACGUAGGGCGCGAGCGUUGUCCGGAAUUAUUGGGCGUAAAGAGCUCGUAGGCGGCCUGUUGCGUCCGCUGUGAAAGCCCGGGGCUCAACCCCGGGCCUGCAGUCGAUACGGGCAGACUAGAGUGCGGUAGGGGAGACUGGAAUUCCUGGUGUAGCGGUGAAAUGCGCAGAUAUCAGGAGGAACACCGGUGGCGAAGGCACUCUACUGGGCCAUUACUGACACUGAGAGACGAAAGCUAGGGGAGCGAAUGGG
rnacentral:rRNA from 1 species